rnacentral:rRNA from 1 species
CCCUUAGAUGUCCUGAGCUGCACGCGUACUACAAUGACACUUUCAGCAAGUUUUUCCUGAUCCGAAAGGAUUUGGGUAAUCUUUUUAGUGAGUGUCGUGCUUGGGAUAGUUCUUUGUAAUUGUGGAACUUGAACUAGGAAUUCCUAGUAAGCGCGAUUCAACAUAUCGUGCUGAUUACGUCCCUGCAAAAUGUACACACCGCCCGUCGCUUUUACCGAUUGAGUGUUCAGGUGAGUCUUCUUGAUAGUGUCACAGCUAAAAAUUAAACAAACCUUAGCACUUAGAGGAAAAAGAAGUCGUAACA